AACGAACGCUGGCGGCGUGCCUAACACAUGCAAGUCGUGCGAGAAAGUUCCUUCGGGAGCGAGUAGAGCGGCGCACGGGUGAGUAACACGUAGGUAACCUGCCCCCCAGUCUGGAACAACUAGAGGAAACUCUAGCUAAUGCCGGAUGAGACCACGAUCCCUUCGGGGGUUGCGGCCAAAGAUGGCCUCUACUUGUAAGCUAUCGCUGAGGGAUGGGCCUGCGGGCCAUUAGCUUGUUGGUGAGGUAACGGCUCACCAAGGCUGUGAUGGCUAGCUGGUCUGAGAGGAUGACCAGCCACACUGGGACUGAGACACGGCCCAGACUCCUACGGAGGCAGCAGUGGGGAAUAUUGCGCAAUGGGCGAAAGCCUGACGCAGCGACG
rnacentral:rRNA from 1 species